GUGGAGCAAUCCAUGAGUAAAGUGGCGUACGGGUGAGUAACACGUGGAUAACCUGCCCCUUUGUGGGGAAUACCGCUGGGAAACCGGCGACAAUACCGCAUAAGCUCGAGAGAGGAAAGCAGCAAUGCGCAGAGGGAGGGGUCCGCGGUCGAUUAGCUAGUUGGUGAGGUAAUAGCUCACCAAGGCUGUGAUCGAUAGCCGGCCUGAGAGGGCACACGGCCACACUGGCACUGAAACACGGGCCAGACCCCUACGGGAGGCAGCAGUGGGGAAUCUUGCACAAUGGGGGAAACCCUGAUGCAGCGACGCCGCGUGAGCGAUGAAGCCCUUCGGGGUGUAAAGCUCUUUCGGCAGGGAAGAUUAUGACGGUACCUGCAGAAGCAGCUGCGGCUAACUACGUGCCAGCAGCCGCGGUAAUACGUAGGCAGCAAGCGUUGUUCGGAGUUACUGGGCGUAAAGGGUGCGUAGGCGGCUCUAUAAGUAUGGUGUGAAAUCUCCCGGCUUAACUGGGAGGGUGCGCUAUAGACUGUGGGGCUAGAGUGUGGGAGAGGAAAGUGGAAUUCCUGGUGUAGCGGUGAAAUGCGUAGAUAUCAGGAGGAACACCGGUGGUGUAAACGGCUUUCU
rnacentral:rRNA from 1 species